GAUGAACGCUGGCGGCGUGCCUAAUACAUGCAAGUCGAGCGAACGGACGAGAAGCUUGCUUCUCUGAUGUUAGCGGCGGACGGGUGAGUAACACGUGGAUAACCUACCUAUAAGACUGGGAUAACUUCGGGAAACCGUAGCUAAUACCGGAUAAUAUUUUGAACCGCAUGGUUCAAAAGUGAAAGACGUUCUUGCUGUCACUUAUAGAUGGAUCCGCGCUGCAUUAGCUAGUUGGUAAGGUAACGGCUUACCAAGGCAACGAUGCAUAGCCGACCUGAGAGGGUGAUCGGCCACACUGGAACUGAGACACGGUCCAGACUCCUACGGGAGGCAGCAGUAGGGAAUCUUCCGCAAUGGGCGAAAGCCUGACGGAGCAACGCCGCGUGAGUGAUGAAGGUCUUCGGAUCGUAAAACUCUGUUAUUAGGGAAGAACAUAUGUGUAAGUAACUGUGCACAUCUUGACGGUACCUAAUCAGAAAGCCACGGCUAACUACGUG
rnacentral:rRNA from 1 species